rnacentral:rRNA from 1 species
GAGUUUGAUCUUGGCUCAGAUUGAACGCUGGCGGCAUGCCUUACACAUGCAAGUCGAACGGCAGCACGGGAGCUUGCUCCUGGUGGCGAGUGGCGAACGGGUGAGUAAUGCAUCGGAACGUAUCCUGGAGUGGGGGAUAACGUAGCGAAAGUUACGCUAAUACCGCAUAUUCUGUGAGCAGGAAAGCGGGGGGACCUUCGGGCCUCGCGCUCUUGGAGCGGCCGAUGUCGGAUUAGCUAGUUGGUGAGGUAAAGGCUCACCAAGGCGACGAUCCGUAGCAGGUCUGAGAGGAUGAUCUGCCACACUGGAACUGAGACACGGUCCAGACUCCUACGGGAGGCAGCAGUGGGGAAUUUUGGGACAAUGGGGGCAACCCUGAUCCAGCCAUGCCGCGUGAGUGAAGAA